rnacentral:misc_RNA from 1 species
UAGCCAUGUACAGGCGUUCCCCUCUGUCAAGGUAUAAGGCCAAAUGGCCAUAUGCAAACAAUAAAACUAGUUGCAGCCGCGCCGAUCACUAGACUAAAUCUAGUUGCGCGAUCGAAUCAACGUCUUUUAAAAAAUGCCAAAUUGUUCUGUUUUUUGCUGCAAAAAGAGAUCUGCCACGUCAAAUUUACUAAAAGAUGGCGUUACCUUUCAUAUGUUUCCUAAAGAUCCAAAUUUAAGGGAUAUAUGGAAAAAUUUUUGUAAUAACAGACUAACUUGGACGCCUACAAAAAAUAGUGUCAUUUGUUCAGAUCAUUUCAAUACAUCUGACUUUCAAGUGUUGGCAAACAAUAGAAGGAAAUUAGUCAAGGGCACCAAACCAACACUAACGCCAAACUGUUUUUGUCCC